rnacentral:rRNA from 1 species
CCUACGGGUGGCAGCAGUGAGGAAUAUUGGUCAAUGGGCGCGAGCCUGAACCAGCCAAGUAGCGUGAAGGAUGACUGCCCUACGGGUUGUAAACUUCUUUUAUAAAGGAAUAAAGUGAGGCACGUGUGCCUUUUUGUAUGUACUUUAUGAAUAAGGAUCGGCUAACUCUGUGCAAGCAGCCGCGGUAAUACGGAGGAGCCGAGCGUUAUCCGGAUUUAUUGGGUUUAAAGGGAGAGUAGAUGGGUUGUUAAGGAAGUUGGGAAAGUUUGCGGCGCAACAGUAAAAUUGCAAUUGAUACUGGCAGCCUUGAGUACAGUUGAGGUAGGCGGAAUUCGUGGUGUAGCGGUUAAAUGCUUAGAUAUCACGAAGAACUACGAUUGCGAAGGCAGCUUACUAAACUGCCACUGACAUUGAUGCUCGAAAGUGUGGGUAUCAAACAGGAUUAGAUACCCCGGUAGUC